UACGUAGGGCGCAAGCGUUGUCCGGAAUUAUUGGGCGUAAAGAGCUCGUAGGUGGCUUGUCACGUCGGGUGUGAAAGCCCGGGGCUUAACUCCGGGUCUGCAUUCGAUACGGGCUGGCUAGAGUGUGGUAGGGGAGAUCGGAAUUCCUGGUGUAGCGGUGAAAUGCGCAGAUAUCAGGAGGAACACCGGUGGCGAAGGCGGAUCUCUGGGCCAUUACUGACGCUGAGGAGCGAAAGCGUGGGGAGCGAACAGG
rnacentral:rRNA from 1 species